CCUCAAAUCCAAGUAGGACUACCGCUGAAC
rnacentral:rRNA from 1 species